rnacentral:ncRNA from 1 species
AAGGCGUAACCUGAAAAGCCAGUAAUAGAGUAAGGU